GGGCUCGUAGCUCAGCUGGCUAGAGCGCUGCAUUGACAUUGCAGAGGUCACUGGUUCGAGUCCAGUCGGGCCCACCA
rnacentral:tRNA from 1 species